rnacentral:rRNA from 1 species
GAGUUUACAACUCCCAAACCCCUGUGAACAUACCUAUACGUUGCCUCGGCGGAUCAGCCCGCGCCCCGUAAAACGGGACGGCCCGCCCGAGGACCCCUAAACUCUGUUUUUAGUGGAACUUCUGAGUAAAACAAACAAAUAAAUCAAAACUUUCAACAACGGAUCUCUUGGUUCUGGCAUCGAUGAAGAACGCAGCAAAAUGCGAUAAGUAAUGUGAAUUGCAGAAUUCAGUGAAUCAUCGAAUCUUUGAACGCACAUUGCGCCCGCCAGUAUUCUGGCGGGCAUGCCUGUUCGAGCGUCAUUUCAACCCUCAAGCUCAGCUUGGUGUUGGGACUCGCGGUAACCCGCGUUCCCCAAAUCGAUUGGCGGUCACGUCGAGCUUCCAUAGCGUAGUAAUCAUACACCUCGUUACUGGUAAUCGUCGCGGCCACGCCGUUAAACCCCAACUUCUGAAUGUUGACCUCGGAUCAGGUAGGAAUACCCGCUGAACUUAAGCAUAUCAAG